ensembl:lncRNA
AUGGAGAAGCUGGACUUGACCAGACUUGUCGGUUCUCCUCCCACUGAUUGUCUUCCUCCAGCUGUGGUCAGAGAAGUGUGGCACGAGCAGACCGUAAGAUUGUUUCUCCCCCGUCUCGUGACAGUAUGCCCUGAUCUGCUCUACACCAGCAACUACCUCAACCGAGAGGUUCUCAAAGCCUUCAAAGAAUCGCAGUGAGACAUCUCCACAUUUAAACUCAAGAAAUCAAACAAUGAGGCUCAGAUAGACCUAACUAGUUUUCCUCCACCCAGAGCUGAUGUUUGGCUGAUCGACCUGCUGGAUUUCCUUCUGGAUCAGCAUGUGGUGGAGGUGAGCAGAAAACUACCCACGUUCUCCUGUGAGGAAGAGGGUGGCCGGGGGAUGGAUGAAUGUAAACUGCUGUUUCAUGUACUGGACAAACACUCUGUGACCGCAUGAUACAUCUACACUGAGAUCAUGGAACUCCUGAGUGAGUAAUGCUCCUCAAAUGAUUCAUUCUUUCCAAAAAAACAUCUUUCUUGGUGGCAUUUUUUUUCUGUGUUUACCUGUAUAUCUAGUGCAUAGGAAGCUUGAACGGGUGUUGGAAGUCCUGCAGCUGUCUUACUAGACUUUUCUUUCUUUAUUAAAGUUUUAUAGAAGCCCAUAUAUUAUUUGUGAUGCAUUUGUUUUGUACUGAGGUACUUAUAUUUAUGUAGUAAUUUUUUUUUAUAUAUUUUACAUUUUCUCUGAAAGACAUUACAAACAUCACCUUUGUGCUUUCGUCGCGUCCUGUGCCUUUAAUUCUGAUGCGUCUCCAGCAGCUGCUGUGGCUCCGUCCAUACUGUACGCGUUUCAAACUCUGAUUGGCUGUUCACUCCUAGACAGACGAAAGCUCGUCCAAUCAGCGUCCGAUGAGUCGGGAGACGUCCAUUAGAGCGGAGUGCGCUUCCAGCGCCUGUUCUCAGAUCAGUUGGUCGUGCGCACAGCGUCGUAUGUUCCUACAGCGAUUAGAUUUAUUCAACUGUUCCUGGAUCAGCUGUAGGGCUCAAACCUCGCCUCGCUGUUGAGACUGAAUUCCGGGCGCAGCUCAAAUCUCCUCCCCGGAUGCCCCAGAAACCCUAACACACAGUCAUCGCCACACAC